AGUCACUGACAUUAGAUACCCGCGUAGUCCAGGGUGUAAACGCUGCAGACUUGGUGUUGGAGGCCCUUUGGGGGCAUUCAGUGCCGGAGAGAAGUUGUUAAGUCUGCUACUUGGGGAGUACGUCCGCAAGGAUGAGACUUAAAGGAAUUGGCGGGGGAGCACCGCAACGGGGGGAGCGUGCGGUUUAAUUUGGAUUCAACACCGUAAAACUCACCAGGGAAGACUGUUACAUGAAAGCCGAGAUGAAGACUCUGCUAGAUUUUCAG
rnacentral:rRNA from 1 species